rnacentral:rRNA from 1 species
AUUGAACGCUGGCGGCAUGCCUUACACAUGCAAGUCGAACGGUAACGCGGGGCAACCUGGCGACGAGUGGCGAACGGGUGAGUAAUAUAUCGGAACGUGCCCUGAGGUGGGGGAUAGCCCGGCGAAAGCCGGAUUAAUACCGCAUACGACCUACGGGUGAAAGCGGGGGAUCGCAAGACCUCGCGCCAUUGGAGCGGCCGAUAUCAGAUUAGGUAGUUGGUGGGGUAAUGGCUCACCAAGGCGACGAUGCGUAGCCGACCUGAGAGGGUGAUCGGCCACACUGGGACUGAGACACGGCCCAGACUCCUACGGGAGGCAG